rnacentral:ncRNA from 1 species
GGGUUAAGAUUUCCCGAGCCGGGAUGUGGCGGUUGACGGCGACGUUAGGAAGUCCGGAGACGCCGGCGGGGGCCUCGGGGAGAGUUAUCUUUUCUGCUUAACGGCCUGCCAACCCUGGAAACGGUUCAGCCGGAGGUAGGGUCCAGUGGCCGGAAGAGCACCGCACGUCGCGCGGUGUCCGGUGCGCCCCCGGCGGCCCAUGAAAA